GCCGGAAUAGCUUAGUUGGGAGAGCGUUAGACUAAGUUGUUUACGCAACAGUCAUCUAAAGGCCCCUGGUUUUAUCCCGGGUUCCGGCA
rnacentral:tRNA from 1 species